rnacentral:rRNA from 1 species
UUACCGGCUUGACAUGAUAGAGAUUCCUUCGGCACAGGUGGUGCAUGGUUGUCGUCAGCUCGUGUCGUGAGAUGUUGGGUUAAGUCCCGCAACGAGCGCAACCCUAUUUUAGUUGCUAACAUAUGAGACUCUAAGAGACUGCCAGUGAUAACUGGAGGAAGGUGGGGAUGACGUCAAAUCAUCAUGCCCCUUAUGCCGGGCUACAAACGUGCUACAAUGGGGUACACGAGGCACCGCGAGGGGAGCAAUCUUUAAACCUUCUCAGUUCGGAUCGAAGUCUGCAACUCGACUUCGUGAAGUUGGAAUCGCUAGUAAUCGUGGUCAGAUACACGGUGAAUACGUUCUCGGAGAUUGUACACACCGCCCGUCAUACCACGAGAGUUUGAAACCGAA